rnacentral:rRNA from 1 species
AUUGAACGCUGGCGGCAUGCCUUACACAUGCAAGUCGAACGGCAGCACGGGAGCUUGCUCCUGGUGGCGAGUGGCGAACGGGUGAGUAAUGCAUCGGAACGUGCCCUGAAGUGGGGGAUAACGUAGCGAAAGUUACGCUAAUACCGCAUAUUCUGUGAGCAGGAAAGCAGGGGAUCUUCGGACCUUGCGCUUUUGGAGCGGCCGAUGUCGGAUUAGCUAGUUGGUGGGGUAAAGGCCCACCAAGGCGACGAUCCGUAGCGGGUCUGAGAGGAUGAUCCGCCACACUGGAACUGAGACACGGUCCAGACUCCUACGGGAGGCAGCAGUGGGGAAUUUUGGACAAUGGGCGCAAGCCUGAUCCAGCCAUGCCGCGUGAGUGAAGAAGGCCUUCGGGUUGUAAAGGCUACUUUCGGCGGGGAAGGAAAGUUAGCUUGGGUUAAUACCCUGAGUAGAUGACGGUACCCGC